GACGUAGGGCGCGAGCGUUGUCCGGAUUUAUUGGGCGUAAAGAGCUCGUAGGCGGCUUGUCGCGUCGACUGUGAAAACCCGAGGCUCAACUUCGGGCUUGCAGUCGAUACGGGCAGGCUAGAGUUCGGUAGGGGAGACUGGAAUUCCUGGUGUAGCGGUGAAAUGCGCAGAUAUCAGGAGGAACACCGGUGGCGAAGGCGGGUCUCUGGGCAGUAACUGACGCUGAGGAGCGAAAGCGUGGGGAGCGAACAGG
rnacentral:rRNA from 1 species